rnacentral:rRNA from 1 species
AUUGAACGCUGGCGGCAUGCCUUACACAUGCAAGUCGAACGGCAGCGGACCUUCGGGUGCCGGCGAGUGGCGAACGGGUGAGUAAUAUAUCGGAACGUACCUUUCAGUGGGGGAGUAACGUAGCGAAAGUUAACGCUAAUACCGCAUAUUCUGUGAGCAGGAAAGCAGGGGAGUCGCAAGACCUUGCGCUGAUUGAGCGGCCGAUAUCAGAUUAGCUAGUUGGUGAGGUAAAGGGACUCACCAAGGCGACGAUCUGUAGCGGGUCUGGGAGGAUGAUCCGCCACACUGGAACUGNGACACGGUCCAGACUCCUACGGGAGGCAGCAGU